AGCACCAAAUCCUAUAUUAUGGGACCGAGCAGCCGCGAUGGCCACUAGAAAAGUUGGCUCUUGCUUUGGUGUUUGGUGGGCAGCCGCAUCCCGCCCCUCCUCCAACCUGAGCUACUGUAGAUUACAAAUGCUGGGUGCAAAACUCCAACAAUACUUCCAUCUGCAGCAACAAACUCUGGUAGAGUUAACUCACGUCAGCAUAAGGCAUGAAGCUUUGGAAUUUGCAGAAAAAGUACUUGCACUAAGAGG